GAGGGCUGUCGCUGACUUUUUGAACCAAAAGUCGUGCACGCCCGUUCGUGUCCUCUCACAAUAAAAUCCAUCUCACCCUUUUGUGCACCACCGCGUGGGCACCUUUUGGGAUCGAACCGAUCCUGGAGGGGGCUUGCGUUUUCACACAAACCCCUUUUAAAAAGUGUAGAAUGACCCCAUUUUGCGAUGACACGCAAUCAAUACAACUUUCAACAACGGAUCUCUUGGCUCUCGCAUCGAUGAAGAACGCAGCGAAAUGCGAUACGUAAUGUGAAUUGCAGAAUUCAGUGAAUCAUCGAAUCUUUGAACGCACCUUGCGCCCCUUGGUAUUCCGAGGGGCACACCCGUUUGAGUGUCGUGAAAAUCUCAACCUUCUCGGUUUUCUUCUGGACACCGAAGGAGGCUUGGACUUUGGAGGCCUUUGCUGGCAUCUCUCUCUUUUUGAGAGCCAGCUCCUCUUAAACGAAUUAGCGGGGUCCUCUUUGCCGAUCCUCGACAUGUGAUAAGAUGUUUCCAUGACUUGGUUUCUGGCUCUGUUGCCUUUGGGACCCGAUUCUAAUCGUCUCGACUAGACAACAUUUGGGCGUGUCUCCCUUCUCGGGAGACUCUAUCGACCCCACGAACCCUUGACCUCAAAUCGGGUGAGACUACACGCUGAACUUAAGCAUAUCAAUACGCGGAGGAGAAGAAACUAACCAGGAUUCGCCUACUAACUGCAAGUGAAGCGAGAAAAGCUCAGAUUUAAAAUCUGGCGGUCUCUGGCCGUCCGAGUUGAAAUUU
rnacentral:rRNA from 1 species